ensembl:snoRNA
UACAACAGAAAUAACCGUAGUCUAAGAAUAUAAUUUGAUAAUUAAACUUUUGGACAUUAAAACAGGCUUGGGAAAAUGACUGGGUAGAAAAUAUUAUUCUAUUCACUUUGUUCCCAGCCUACAUUU